CCCACCUUAGUGGGAGAGUUGCCACCGAAUCCCAUAAGAACUCCGGAGUUAAGUGUGCUCGGGUGGGGUCAAUCCCUAGAUGGGUGACCUCCCUGGGAGGUCCCCCAGUACAUGUGCAUGCGUUGCAAGACGCUUGUUGUGCAUGUGCUGAAAGGCAUCGCUGCCCAGCAU